rnacentral:lncRNA from 1 species
ACCUUCCUUUUAUCGACGACUCCACCCAUCUCGAUUCAUCAUCCAAUCCACCACCAUUGCUCUGAUACUAGCCACCAUCUACCAUCGUCAUAUGGUCAUCUGUCGAACCUAUACACAUGUCAAUUAUACAGACAUGGUGCGUGUCGCACCUCCAUUUCCCACCGCUUUUGUUCCCCUCACACCUGCCUCACCGCCGAUGCCGACUCGUGUCCGAUUACCUGUCACGCACGCAAAACACACAUAAAUAACCAUAAAUAAAGGGCUCCCCUUCCUCUUCCGCUCCUUUUUGCUCCUGCUAUCUCCGCACUCUUUCUCUCCAACCUAGCUUGUCGCGGAGGUAUCCUUUUACCGGUGACUUCUCCUCUUCUGUUUCAUUGUUAGAUCUGCAGUCGUCGCUACCCCGUGGCCUGUCAUCCACCACCACCGCAAGCAACGAGAAAUUGGGGCGGGACAACAAUUAUCAUCCUGUCGCCGAUGAGGUUUCGAGGGUGUUUCAUUCAGCGGUAAGCUUCCUUUCCCUACUUCGCUCCUCCAUUUUAUUCAUGCUCAUGCUUAUGCUUUGCCCUUUUGCCUUCUCCCCCUCCCGCACCCCCGCUCGACUCCCAAUUGAACGGCGGGGGCGGGGCGCUAUUCACUUCUUAGGAAGAGGGAUCAAACAUUUUCAUUGUUUUUUCUUUAACUUUUUUUGUACGAUCAAUUUAGGGCAUCGUGUUUUCUUCAUCAAGGGGGUCUACACCACUUUAUUCCACCCCUUUAUUGCUACUCCUGCUUCUGCUUUGCUCUUUUGCGGUCUCCUCCUCCAGCACCGCUCCCUCCUCUUCAUCCAACUCCAGGUUGAUUGCCGGGAGAUCAUUCACCUUUUUAGGAAAAAAUAGUUAAUUUUCGUCCAUUAUAUACCCCCCUUCUUCCCUUUCCUGUUUCUUUUGGUAUGAUCUAUCUUGGAGCAUAGUUUCUAUCCAAGAAGGGGGUUUACACCAAGAAGCAAAAUAAGAAAACCAUCUGGCCUAAGAAGGUUUGUGUAUCCGCUGCAUGGUGGUCAAGUCAGAUCUUGCCUUCUCGUACUGCGUGUCUGCCUGUCCUUCUGGCCUAGGAAGUUUUUGUCUCACUCCAUCCAUCCUUUCCCCUGCGGCGCCGCCCUGUCCUUUCAGAUAGACAUCACCUUCUCCUCUGCCACAAGAAGCUCUCAACGGCUGCAGAGUCUCACAGGUGCCUCGAUAUUCCCAAAGAUGGACACGUAGGUGCCAUAUAUGGGUGGCGUACACUUAAUCUGUUGAUUAGUGGAGUGGAGUAGGAGAAUAUUGAUGAGUACAUGUGUGAAUGUUUACAUAGUACUCCACUAACAUCCAGCACUAUUCCCUUGCUUGAUUGGGGAAAAUUAAUGUAAGAGGCAGACAGUAGAUGGGACAAAAGAAAGAAAGAAAAUAGAUCCCUUGCAAGCUAGAGGCCCCUAAAAGAAAGAAAGCUAGAGGUCCUUAAAAGAAAGAACGAAAAUGGGUCCUUUGCAAGCUAGCUCGACAGUUUCAAUUAGUAUUAUUUUUUGCUUGUAAAGGAGUUAAUUGUGUGUGAACUUGGAGCUACUCACUUCGAAACCACUUAAUGUUCUUCAGAAGUUUGUUCAUUAAUUCUUGGCCCCGACGUGCGUACGUGCGUGCGUAUGGAUGAACCAUGAUGAACAACGCCCCAAAGAAAGAUUCUUCCCUGGAAAGAGAAUACUACCAACCACACAGUCUGAAAGCCAAAGGCAAUUCAGUAGAGGAAAGGGACACGAGAACAUCUGGUUAAUCUAUUAUAGGCACUGAAAUAUCUUCGAUUUUCAUCAUCGUCGAUGGAUCAUCGCCACAAGCUGGAGCGGAGUCCGGAUGAUCCAUCUGUGUUUCCAAGUCCCAACACGCCCGCCCGCAGACCCGAACAACGCUAGCUAGCACUCAACCCACUCAUGAUCCUUCGAUCAUCACAUACCUGACAAUCUAGACUCUAAUUAACAAAGCAACGAGACUGGGCCGGAGAUGCAUGCGUCCAUGGGGAUGGCGUCUAUCCGGCCGGCGAGGGGGCGCGAGAUCCGCGUCGACGGGCGGAUCUCAGGCCCUGAAGCAGGCGGCGAGGUGGAAGUGGAGGUGGCCCGAGGAGGAGCCGUGGUGGUGGUGGCCGCCGGAGACGAGGCGGCCGGAGCCGGAGCCGCCGUGCCGCUGGCCGUCGAUGACGGCCUGCACGCGGCGGAAGUUGUCGACGCCGCAGGGGAUGGUGAUGGCGCCCUGCUGCUGGAAGCCGUACUCCUCCUCGGCCUCCUUGAGGAGGCCCACGAAGAGCGGGUGCUUGAGGUAGCCCACCGGCACCACGAACCGCUCCUCCUCCUCCGCGCGGCCGCCCGGCCCCACCACGCGCACCGCCAUGCACCCCUUGGGCGGCAUCGACGAGCCGCCGCUCGAGCCCCCCGCCGCCGACGAGUGCUGCUUCCUCAGCAGGCUCACGCCCAUAUAUCUUGAUCUUCACAACACCCUACCCUGUACCAAGAAAGAAACGCUCUCUCGCUCGCUAGACCACGACGGCGACCGGCGUCCGACGGCGGGCGUCAGAGCGCGGGGCGGCGGCACGCUGGACGCUGCUGCAUGGCGGCCGUCGACUGGGUAGCUAGGGUUGGUGGCGGUGGUGGUGCUUGGCCCGUCGGGGUUCCCGGUCUCGGCUACGGCGCCUGUGCCUGCCUGCCUGCCUCGAUCUGCCCGUGCGUGCCCUGCGCUGGGUGCGUCUGGUCCGGGAGGGGGCGGGGGCGCGUGCGUAUAAGAGGCGGGGGGCGCGGGCUGCUGCGGUUUGUUGCCAUCCGCCGCUCCCUUUUCCAUACCGUAUUCCGUUUAUCUUUCCACAAGGUAUAUCGAUAACCUUUUUUUUCGGGGAAUAUCGAAAAUCUUUGCCCAUAAAUGUGGCACAGUACUGCAGUAUCCGCGCGAAAAUGAUCUCGUGAUUAAUCCCCACGUUUAUUGUUCAACGAUAAUAAUAUAUUUGCAUUUCCUGUUUUACGCCGAUCCCGUAUAUUUAGGGCUUAUUUAGUUGAGAUUCGAAAUCUUAUCUCGCCGUGUUGGGCGCAUUUAUUUCUCAAGAUAAGGUAAUUCUACACGUGACUACUAUUGUUUUCGUUUUGCUAGCUCAUGCUGGGACUGGCGUACACAUUUCUGCGGAAAAAAGAUUAGCGUAUUCAGAAAGAUUAGCGUUUUGAAUACGCUUUGAAUACGGGGAGAGGGGCAUCUGAUCCCCCCAGGGUAUAGCUAGCCGGGCUACUGUGUGUGUAGCAGCUGGAGGAAUGCCGUGUGUUGCAUCGACAGUCUUUUUUUGUGUGUGCGAGAGGGAUCUCUAGUGCCGUGUGUCGCAUACUCUCUUGACACUUCGGUUGGUGAUGCUACUGCUAGGGUAGAGGCUAGAGCUUGGUGGGCACUAGACACGGGCGCAGGUCGGUCCAGCCCGGUGAACAACUGUAUACACCAGCACCUAGUGCGACAAAACAUUACUAUUUCUUCCUUCCGUUCUAAAUUAUACCCCCUUCGUCUGGAAUUACUUAUCCACAAAUGCAUAAAAACAUAAAUAUCUAGAAUUAAAAUAUAUCUAGACAUAUUCAUUUCCAUUUCUGUGACAAGUAUUUCCGAACGGAGAGAAUACUCUGUCCGUUCCAAAUUAUAUGUAGUUCUGCUCAUUUUAGUGUGUGUAGAAUGUAUAUAGACAUAUUUUAUUGGUUUAUUUAUUCACUCAUUUCAGUUGGAUAUGUAAUUUAUAUUAAAAUAUCUAGAACGUCUUAUAAUUCGAAACAAAUAUGAUAUUUAAAAUCUAGGUUAGUUGUAAGUCAAACUUCUUUAUGUUUUUACGUUUGAGCAAGUUUACUGACAAAAGAAACCAACAUUUACAACGCCGAAUUAGCUUCAUUAUGGCAUCUCCAACGCCGUUCUCUAAAACAGACACACCAUUCAUUCGCGGACUGGUUCGGAUUGGUCUGUGAACUCGGAUUCGAGAGCCGGCCAUCCAACAAUGUCCCAUAAAUGUCCGCUCCUGAUGUUUUUCUUAUCCGCAAAAUUCAAAAUAAUAAUAGAAAAUAACACAAUUCAUCCAUAAAUAGCUUGCAAAUAUUCCUAGUAUAACAAUAGUUCAACACGUGUAAAUAUUACAUUCGAGAUAGACGGAUGUUCAACAAGUUUUUUGAAUCCAUCGAUUCCAAAUUCAACGGUACGCAAGUCAUAAUCGUCAGAUAUCCUCACACGCACGGUCGCCCUUAAGCUUCACCCAAUAAUGUUGAAUGUGAAUGGUCUACUCUCGGUCCUGUAGUACAACACGAUAAUGUUAGACAUUGAGUGAAUCAAUGAACUGAUCAACAUGUAGAGCAACAAGAAGCAAACACUACAAUCUUCAUGGUUGUCGAGCCUGAUGGCCACUUUGUCUCCACUCGUGCAACCACGCCACAAUACUUCAUGAAGGCGUUAGAGAUGGUGUACCACCUGUUGGCUAGUGACUUCACAUUACGAUCAUGGAUCACGUGCCUGUCGUAGGGCGCGAAGUGCUUCUCCUCAAGAAAUGAAGCACGCUUGUUUUGUCAAAACAGCGAGCCCCAUUGCCUCAUGCCUACAAAGUCUGCAUAUAUAAAUUUCCACGCAUCGCACAACAACAUAGACCCGCAUAUAUGACCUUCAACGCAUCGCACAACAACACAUACUCCAUCACCGAGUACCUCGCAAUCGUGCUUACUCUAGAAAACAACAAGAAGUUCAACAAAAAAGCUUUAUGCCAUUUGACCAAAUACUUGCUGGGUGUGGUGUCCGCCAUGGACGACAUCGACACGGGGGAGGGGGGGUUGCUAGAUACGGACGGAUCAUGAGUGGAUGACAUCGUAGUCCAAGGUGGGCAGUCGCGUAGGUGGCAUCUGCGGAUGUCUGGGCGACAGUCGGAGAGGUACAUCUAUGGCGCCCGAGGAGGGGGAUGCACAUCAUAUCUUUAGCUCCUUGUUGGUUCGACACUCUAUACUUAUCACUUCCAUCACUAGAAAGUGCUGCGACAAUUUCUUAAACACUUGGGGAUUAUUGACGGGGUCCUGUACCGGGGGUGGCUACCACCAAGGAGCCCGACCCCUUCAACUACAAGGUGGCCCAACAGACCCAUGAUGUGAUGCUAACCCUAGGAGGCCAUAAGACCUUCUUGACACCCAUGACUAGAGGGCGGCGGCGCCCUAGAUCGCAUCUGGCAUGUAAAACCUAGACUUCUCCUGUCUAUAUCAAGGGUUCCUCUCCAUCAUCUAUCCUCAGAUAGGAUAACUCCCGGUAGUGCCAUCAUACACCAUUGUAACCCCUCGCACGAGGUAUACCUCCAUUGUGAAUAACCAAAACCAAUAGGACGUAGCGUAUUACUCUCCGGAGGCCCGAACCUAAAUAAACCCCUCGCGUGACCUUCGAUCCAUGACUUCCAGCUGCGCUUGGACCCGUACCGAGGGAUCUGAUGGAAAUAUGCUCCAUCAGUUGGCACGACAGGCAUGGGUAGCGCUGGCUGGAGACCGAUCAUGGAUCGGAUCUUUCCCUGCUUCCGGCAACCUAUCGCCGGGGAAGAGCUUAAUCUUUGGCUCCUUCACGUUCGUCGUAGACAAGGCGGUCCGGGUCGGCAUCAACCUACCAUCCGACCUCACAGCCAUGGGACCUCCCGAAGGAUCUCCUCACGAUCUUGUCUGGACUAAGGGACGCACCCCACCACCAACCCAGAGGUGCCCUACGGGCAGCCUCCACGCCAUCCACGGAGUGGAGGCCAAUCCAGCAAUUCAGCUAGUCAUGAGUUCUGCGAGGCCUGCCACCUUAGCAAAGUGCCAGGAGACUGUCUCGUCACCGACCUAGAAACACACGAAGACGCCGAUGCGGCGAGUACAUCUUUAACCUCGAGCGACCAAAGAACACACGCCGAUCACCCUUACCAACGAGGACGAGAACACGAGCCUCCAACCCUUCCACGAGGUCAUGUACUCCGACCUCUGGGGGGGAGGAAGGGUCAUCUGCGGGCUCAGGGACUAAUGCCUCUUUAUAUCAAGGGACGUCCCUAUCCGAGGCCGCGUAAGCGAUAUUCCACCACCUAUACUUGAAAAUUUUUAUAACCAAGGGGGAGAUGACGAUGGUGAUGAUCACGAGCAUGAGGACGAGCAGGACCCAUAUACUCAGUGGCACCUGGCAACUUAUUCCAAUGGAUCACCUCUUUUCUGUAUACAGGGCACUACUGAUGUUACUAAGGAAGCAGGUGUUGUCUCGCAUGGUCGCACUCUCCGGACCUAUUCCAACAUCCGUUGCAGGGUAUUCGGGAUGGAUACUAGUGUGCUAGCGCCAACACCUUCUCCCUGGUUCAGUAUUGAUAGUCUUAGAGAAAACUCGCUCUUCCUUGGACAAAACUAUCCAAUGAUGGUGAAAAGCGAUCCAGCUUCUGUUGACACAAUGUUACUACUAUUUAUGAGAAGCAACUGUAUCUAUAUCUCGGACAUUGCAAUGCUUCCAUCAUAAUAUGGGUAUUGAAAUAGGCCGCUUCAGCCUGGAUGAUCAGUCCUGCGUUGGUCUCGAGAUUGACACUAGCUGGCCCUUCCCAGAGAAUCACUUCUGGUUCAAAGCAAGAAUUUCCAACGCCGACGAGUGGUUGAGCUGAAGUUCAUUUCAUUGCUUUCUUAUUUGUUGUGUGAGAAAAACUUUACUUUACUAGAAUUUUUUGUUGGAAAUGAUCUAUAAUCCAACAUGUAUCCUCGUUGUCGUUGUGGGUUGAUGACUUGUUAUGUGUAAUCAAUGGUACAUUUGCAUAUGCGUCCAUCAACUCACACCUGCUAGUGGUAUCCAUAUGAACAGUGCUAGUGAUUUUAGUUGCAAAAAUUAGAUAGUGCUAGUGAUUUUUAGCUACAUAUUUUGACAAAUCACAGUGUUACAAGGUUGACAAAUGGCAAUGUUACUAGAUAAACAAAUGUCAAUCUUUCCGGUUUGACAAAUGGCAACAUACCCAAUAUGACAGAUGCAAAUC